UGACUACGGUCUCCUGAAUCCUGCCAGGAAUUGCGGAUCAAGCUGACUACGGUCUCCUGAAUCCUGCCAGGAAUUGCGGAUCAGGCUGACUACGGUCUCCUGAAUCCUGCCAGUUUGCAGCUCGGAUACACUAUGUGUCGCCGAGACCUGCCAGGGGAAUUGACGAAUUUACAGAGGAAUUGACGGAAAUUAAAAGGGUACACCCAAUUGGUAACUUUAGAGGAAUGUCAGUGCAAUUAUGCAAAUAUUGAUUUCAGUGAUUUUACUUGAGUUUCUUAAUAUCGAGCAGUAACGGUAUAUAUAUGUUUACCUAAAUGCUUUGAACUUAUCAUAAUUCAAGUGCAGUUUAAAUAUUCAGUUGUAUGAUUAUCAUUAUUUUUACAGUGGGGGUUAUUAUGUUCAUAUACUGUUUUCUAGAACUUUAUUUUGGUCCACUCACACUUUGAAAUGUUUUGCGCCCCCCAGGCAGUCGAGUGUGCAGGAAUCCACCACCAGGCCUUCUCCUAGCUCCCACGCUAUUUCCAAGCUGUAGGAUUUCUUGUAACCUACUUAAAUUCUUGUAAACAAUUAGUAACUGCUCUGAUAUCUGGUUGGAUUAGAUAACCAGAACUGGUGAAUAUUUAGUUACCCUAUUCUGGCAGUUGGUGUGGAUUUAUCAGUUUGUUUGACAGGUGGAAAAUUUGGGUUUAGUCAAAUUACAGGGGAGUCUCUGCCGAAAUUAAAGCAGGAGUCCAGAGAAAGUUUUAACCAUAUUUAUCUCCAGGAAGGGUAAAAAGGUCAUUGUGCCCGACAAGUGCCAGGUGUUGGACACGCACAGGGCUUGGCUCGAAUUCCAAAGCGGAAAUUGGGUCGGGUCCUGUCAAUUUGGUAUCAGAGCAUAGGUUUUACUUCCUGUAGACUUCGCACUAUGUGCAUCCUCGUUCUCUUUUCGAGUUGGGCCCUAAUGGUGGUGGUAUCCGUAAGACAAUUGGACAGAUAUCUCGAUGUAAGGAAAUGAGAUUUCUAAGUUGAACAGAAACUGCACCGGUAUUUGAACCGGUAGAGUAAUGUUUUGUUAAGAGGCUCGUCAAGAGCCGUACCUACUGUACCAAGUAGGCAGGAAGAUCCAAAUGUCCAGUAGACCUUGGGAGUUGAUAACUCAGGGUUUAGUCAGCCAGAGAUCCAUCCGUGAGAUAGGUGGAUCCAGUAAAAAGGAUUGAGAGCUAUAAAUUGGGAUAAUGGUGGUACCUAGUAGUAAAAAGAGGAUUAAAUUGAAGGAAUAGAGCAGGACAUGGAGGUCCUAGUUGCUAUACAGAAGAAUAAAGUAUUGGUGGGAUUUAGUUAAGAAGUGAUACCAGGAUCCUUUGAUUAAUACGUAACAAGUAUUUUAGAGCCGAAUUUAAUAGCUAGUCUUAUCUGUAAGUUUACAGAAGGUGAGGAUACAAGAGGUUUUGCAGCAGAAUAGAGAAUAAUAAUUGGAUCCGAGUAUAAAAAAAAAAAAGGGGUUCCAUACACUGUUUUCUACUAAAAGAGAUCUGAAAGUAAGAGGUAAUACCUAUAAGGUUAAAACCCUCCCCCCCCCCCCCCCCCCAAGAUAUUGUGAUCAGUUAGUGGUUAAUUAACUUUGGUGCCGUGAUAAUGUCUGCCUCAGCCAGAUAAUGGGUAGACCAUGAGGUGCACUCUGUGCACAGUAUUUGGAUAUAGGUAAUACUAAUCAGGAGGAAUUUAAGAGGGGUGUCUACAGUGGUGAUUAUAGUCUCCGAUCACCGAAUGGCCGCAGAUACGGAAAGUACCGAUCUGGAUUUAGUUCCAGUGAAAGUACCAGUCAAGAUAGUCAUAUUGGCAAUUGUUCUGGGGCUGGUAUAGCCAGGAGUGUUGGAAGACAAUUGUUAUCAGUCUCUAACAGGAGAAGUUGCCCUAUUGUGCCAAGUGUAGAAGGCAUUAUUCCGGGCCCUACUAGAGGAGUACUAUGGGGGAGAAUAAGAUUAUGGAUAGUCUAAGCCUUUCAAAAGGGAUUGCCGCUGUUCCCUUAGUAUUAAAAGAUCAUUUCUGCAGCAAAACAAAUAUGCAAGGUAAGUUACCGAAAAUACCACAGUUUAUGGGAGUUCUGUUUAGCGAUGGGCCCAGAGCAGUAAGGCUAGUUGAGGAAGCAGUCAACCAUGAGGUUAUGUGGCAACAGUUUUAAGCCGCAGGUAGACAGUAUAUUAUGUCUCAGUAGGAAGCAUGAGCAUUAUUUACUGUAGAUACAGAUUGAAUUCCUCUCCGGCAUGGUUGACUGGAGAUCAUCCUAGGGUUGGAUUACUCUGACCAGAUACAAUGUUACAGAGUUACUUUUUAUUGGGAGAUUGGGUUUAUGUUUGAGCUCGCUCCAGGAAGGGAGCCUUUUUCUCCGGUAAAGUAUAAAGGAAUAUUAAUAAGUUGAAUGAGUUAAAGACUAAUAAGGAAUAUUUGCCGGAAAUGAUAACGAAGAAGGUCAUUCAGCUUAGCGCUUUCCUCAGUGAAGUGUUCUAGUGUUAUUUAAGGAAAGGAGAUGUCAUCAUGAAGUUAUACAUGGACACAAGGUAGCAAGAUAAGAUCACAGUACAGAAAUAAAAUCCCUUAGGAACAGAGAAUUAUAAAAAGAAAGAAAAGAUACAAAAAUUGUGAUAUUGAUUGCAAGGUAAGGUAAGCAAUCAGGGAAGGAAGCUGAUGAGAGCAGACAACCAGCUCAUCAAUCAAGGAAGGAAGCUGGUGGGAGUAGAAAACAAGCUCUCAAUUCUCCUAGUCUAGAAGGACCUCAGGAGAUUAGAGCAUAAGGCCACCUUCACGAUUCCCUGAUCUUGCUGAAACAUGAUCAGUGAUAGUCUUGCUUCCUGAGUGGAUGAUAAGAGAUAGUCUUGCUUCUCGAGCAUAUUGAGUGCUUAUUGAUAAGAAAAACAAGUAGAUAUCGCAUCACUGGUAUGAAGUAAAUUGGAUGUCUUCUGUAAAGAAAGUUUCAUUAGUAACACAUUUAUACACAAGUACAAUGAAGAGGUAGAAUCAGUGAAUUUCAAAUUAACCAUAGGAAAAUUGCGAGAUUCUCGGGGUACUUUUGACAAAGUAGCUCCGUGAAAUCCGUAAAGCAAGAUCGGCUUGACGAAGAUAAUCCGCGGAAAUGCCGAAAGUACCGACAGCAUUAUUAGAGGCCACGUGAAGUUUUGGACUCUUGUGAAAGAGAAAAAUAAUGUGGGGAUUCGAGAAGAUUUUGGAAUCCGAAAAGCUGCCACAUUUUCAUCUAUAGAUAUUGCCUUCGUAAAACUUGAUUGAGCAACAGCAUUUCAGCUCAACUUUCUUCAGUGUUUACAAGACUUUCUUAGAAACCUUCUUAGAAUGGCUUCCUCUUCUUCCUGCCCAAAUUAUUUCAAUUUAAAUGAUGUUCCCACAACAGUUAGUGACGCUACAGUUUGGCGUCCAUCCUUUGUAUCCAACAAUCGUCAUCUCACAGUUAAGGAUUCUGUGAUGAUGAAUGAUGCUACUGCUGUCAUAGUAGCUAAGAAUUGUAUUACUCCAAUGGAUGAAAUGCUAAUGACAGGGAGGUCUGAGGAAGAGGCCAUGCAUGACUCAAUGGCUUUUAGCAUUCAGAGUGCUGUUUCUGUUUCAAACAUGGCUGAUCGUUUGCGGGCUAGAGCAAACGAGGUUCAGCAGCUAACAACUGAAAAUUCGUCUCUUCAAAGAAGGCUUCAUGAGUCUCAACAGGAAGUUGAGAAACUCAAAGGAGAGAACAACUCCUUGUUGAAACUGGUGAGUUCGUACUCCGAUGAUACACUGAGAAGGCUAAACAUGCUGCAGGUCUCCAAUGAAAGAAUUUUGGGAGACCACGAGAGACUUAUGGCUAGGCUUAAGAGGCGUCGUCCUCUUCCUUCAGAGGCUUCCAGAACCUAAUGUACUUUAUAGAUUCUACAGAACCUGCACCUUCUUUGCAGGUGGAAAAAUCUAUCUGUUAUAUGUUCCUUUCGUACUAUAAUAAUUGAGCAGGUUAAGUUCAGAAUCUUGAUUUGAUUUUUACGAGUAAAAGGUUGAAUUAGAUGUUAUGAAAAGAAAAAGUUUAAAACAGAAAUCUUACAAGGAGCUUCUUAUGAUGAAAGGAACAGUAGGAAUUAUCGGUAAGGAAUAGCUCCGCAACAAGAAUCAAUAAUGUUCUUAUAAUCACUUUCGAUUUCUGAAAGGAAGAAGCAGUAACUUACAAUGGAUUGGGUGUUCAGUCUCCUUGAACAUAGAGAAAGCAGGGUGGAGUGUAGGAAAUUAAGGAUCGAUUCAAUAAGUCUGCGUAUGUUCCGCAGGUGAGAACCAAGUAUAAUCUGAAACAAACUGGCAAGGAUUUUCACUGAUAAGAUCUUGUAAUGCUAUGGAAUACAACUCCCUAUGAUUUAGAUCAAGAAACCCCGGUUAAGAUCCAGUUGAACUCAGCUAAAGGAAGCUUUCAGAAAUUAAUUACAGUCUAAUACUACAAUUCACCCCGGACAGAUGCUCAAUUUAAGAGAAUGACUCAAAUUUUAGGGGAAUUGUUGGGGUGUUGUAUCCUAUAGUUUUGGAGUGAUUGGGGUUACCAUUUGAGAAGGUGUAUACCUCAAAUGACAAUUGUCAGCUAAACUGAACUUCCUUAGCUUACAAAUCUCAAAUUGCCACUAGUCUCUAUAAUUAAAAUGUUUCUAAUUGCUACUCAAUAUGAGGCAUGAUAUAGACCACUCAAGUGGAAAGAUGGAAUAGAAGACAGAGUUUCUUGGUACCUGGAAGUGUUGUACAAACUACAGAAACCUAUUGGAUUAACUGGUAAAAGCCUCAAGCGACCCAGGAUUGACAGGAAGUUAUACAAAUACUAGAAGAAGGAUCUUCAGUUGGGUAUUCUUCAAUUUCUAUCACCUAUAGAAGAGGUAGUGAAAUUGAAGGAAACAAGGAAGUCAAAUCCUAGCAUUAUCAGACCCAAUGAGAUUAUAGAAUGUGUGGGAAAUAAGCAGUUCAGAUUUUGGUAUAGGAAGUGUUUAGCAUAGUAACCCCAGUAGCAAAUACAGGAGCAGUUCUUCUCCCCUUCGAAUGACAGGGAGGUAAAUUUCGAGGACGAAAUUUUUAUAAGGAGGGUAGAUUGUAAUAACUCAAAACAAAAUAUCCUAAAAUUAGUAUUAAUUUAUUCUAGCAAAAAGACGACUUUGUCCUCACCUCUUUUAAGAGGGGGAAAAAUUGACUUUUUGACCGAGAAGGAAUUUGGAAAUUCCGUUUACGCCGUUGCGUAGAGCACGGCGAAACGAGUUCGUAAACACGGAGUAGACCCGAAUCGGAGUUGUAACGAAGGAGUUAUGGUCAAAAGAGUCUCAGUGGCAGAACCGUAAAUAUUUCGAAGUUGAAUUAAUAAAAAGAAAAUCUGUCAGCUCUCUCUCUCUCUCUCUCUCCCUCUCUCCCUCCCGAUAGUUUCAGAAACCCAUUCGGGCAGCCCCAUUCCAAGCCACCCCCAACGCCGUCUCAAGCCACCCCGACCCUCCGGAACGGACCCAGCAGCACCGGCCAGCUCCCGCCAUCAACCUCAGCCCGUCCGCCGCCCCUGCUGCUGUCUGGAGCCGCUGGAAAACGCAGCAGUUUUGGCCGAUUUUCCAACUUCAGUUUCUCCCUCAUCCGGCCACCAAAUCAGUCGUGUGAGGUAUCGAUUUCUAGCUAUUUUUCGUGCUCUAACUGAUGGUUGGAUGGGUUUAGAUAGAUUUCACCCCUAGGUUGCUCAAUUUUUGAUUUGAAAUCGCCCGAACUUCGGCCGCCGGAAUCGGCCAUUUCCGGCCAGUUUUUGGGGGUUGUCCAAGAACAAAAGUGACUCCAAAUGGGGUGUUUUACCUAGGGUAGGAGUUUGGAGUCACGGUUCCAAGAUUUUUUUCGGCACACCCGAUCGCUUUGGACACCCGAUCGGUCCGCGCGUGUGGCGGCGCGUGGGCCAGGGUGGAGGCACGGCUCUGGCCAGUUUUGAGACCCUCGUGCCAUCACGAGCGCGCAGGAUUUCGCGGAUCUCAAUUCGGAGUCCGUUUGUGCCCCGAACGGAUUUUCCAUAAUAUGCGAUUCCCGGUUGCAGCGUCGUCUAGCCGUUGGAUCGCACCCCAUUUCGGAUAUGUUGUUCUACAUUGUUUCAGGAUAGCGUAGGAUUCGACGGAUUGCAAAUCAGAGUCCCGGAUACUCCGGAAUCGCGAACCCUGGGGCUAGGGUUAGGGUUUUAAUAGAUAGCGCGAAUUUGGCCAAUCCGACCGUCCAUUUCGGACCAAACUCGCAGGACAUGGGUUUUACACAGUGAGGAACCUCUAGAGAAUCCCAGAUCGGCCAUCGGAGAUCGUGGACCCCACGGGGUUCCGGAUCGGCCGGUCUAACAGUUUAUCUCUUUGUAAGGUUUCCGGUCUUUUAAGGCCAUUCUGGACAUAGAGUUGACUUUACAAUGAGAGCACGUAUUUCUAGGAGCCGGAGGUCAGGGUAUUUAAUUUAAUGUUUUUAUUGAGCAGUUUAGUAAUUGAAUAUUCAUGGUUAAACAGGCAUCAGAGGCCAAACUGAACCACAGGAGGGACCUUCAAGAGGUCCAGCUAGCUCGGACCAGCAGUGAGUGGACCUUUCUUUUUUUUAAAUGAUUUUCUAAAUCAGUUUUAUUCAGUGUGAUGUAUUCCUAUGAAUUUAAAGAUUCCUUCUAUACAUUGCUUAGCUGAUUUUGCUAAAGUUAUUUGGACAGCAGACUUUGAGAUUUAUGAUUCAGAAAUAUCUAGCUCAGAUUUUAUCAGAAUACAGAGGAUAUCAGAUUUUAUCCAAGAUAAUUAUUUUAGACCACCAUGAAUUAUAGAAAGCAGAGUUUGAGUUUUCUAUUAGAUAAAAAGGGCAGCACAGUUAUAGAUUGAAUAAAGAUUCAGUUAUUCAUCAGAUCUUUCAGUAAUAUUAUGAUAUUUAUAUUUGAUAUUUUCUCAUCAGUUAUAUUUUCUUAAACCACUGUGGGUACCCGGUUACAGAAACAGGUUGCCGUCAAAUAAGACGAUGUCUACGGACAUCCAGAUUGCCUUCGGUUUAUGUUGCCUUCGGUUUAUGUUGCCUUCGGAUAUGAUGAUGUCUACAGACAUCCCGUUUACUUACCGUUCAGUCAGUGCACUUGACAUUUGCCUCACGAGUUUGGGGACACCCGGACUGUGAGUGCCAGGAAUUGCGGAUCAGGCUGACUACGGUCUCCUGAAUCCUGCCAGGAAUUGCGGAUCAAGCUGACUACGGUCUCCUGAAUCCUGCCAGGAAUUGCGGAUCAGGCUGACUACGGUCUCCUGAAUCCUGCCAGUUUGCAGCUCGGAUACACUAUGUGUCGCCGAGACCUGCCAGGGGAAUUGACGAAUUUACAGAGGAAUUGACGGAAAUUAAAAGGGUACACCCAAUUGGUAACUUUAGAGGAAUGUCAGUGCAAUUAUGCAAAUAUUGAUUUCAGUGAUUUUACUUGAGUUUCUUAAUAUCGAGCAGUAACGGUAUAUAUAUGUUUACCUAAAUGCUUUGAACUUAUCAUAAUUCAAGUGCAGUUUAAAUAUUCAGUUGUAUGAUUAUCAUUAUUUUUACAGUGGGGGUUAUUAUGUUCAUAUACUGUUUUCUAGAACUUUAUUUUGGUCCACUCACACUUUGAAAUGUUUUGCGCCCCCCAGGCA
rnacentral:lncRNA from 1 species